UUUUCCGACCCCCACGCCCCUGGGAUGGUAAAGCUGCAGCCCACCUCGUCCUGGGGCAGAGCCUCCUUGCCUGCCUGCUUGCAUCUCUCACCAGCGUCCUAUCCUAACACCUCUGUUUCGUGCCCAUCACUUUGUCUCUCGCUGAAUUCCUUCUGCGUGGAGACAUAGAGAACCUCAGUGAGUCCAGACACAGGAGGAGAGCGUUUCCCAGACUCCUUGCCCCUGAGUGAGGAUACGUGCCUGGUUCUGGCCAAGGGGCUGUGGCUGAUACAGCAGGUGUCACUCUGAGUCAAAGCAAAGGAUGUGCAGACAUGAAGUCUCCACGCUCUCUCUUCUUCUCCCCUUGUCUCAAGGUGUCAGAGGCACCAGCUUAUGAGGGAUGUAUGAUUGUCAGCACCUCCACUUUACAGAAGAGGACACCUGGGUAUGAUGAUAAGCUGCCCAAGGUCCCAUAUCUGGUGCUUCAUAAUCCUGGCAAAGCCACUAAGCUGAGCAGAGCUGCAGAAAUUCCCUGGCUUUCCUGCUGGAAGGUGUCGAUCAAUGAGGGCGCUCUCGGCCUUUGAUGUCAGGCAUCCACGCCCGCUUCUGUAAAGACUUUCGGCUCCACAAGAGAACGGGAAGUCACUGUGAAGAAAGAGGCAGGCGAUGUAACCGGAAAAGCGCAGGUUUGAUGUCAAACAGACCUGCGUGGUUCCACCGCUUUCCGACUGUGUGACACCUCCCUCCCCCACCCCCGGCCCAGUUGCUCUCUGAACCUAAGUCUUGGAAAAUGGAACCAAUAAUACCUGUUCUUCAAGACUGUUUCUGCUGGAAGCUCCAAGAUUCAUCUGAAGGCGUGAUCACAUCCUCGAUGUUGAGUGGACCAUGAGCCGGCUGCCAGAGACAGGGUUCCAAGCCGGGCCAGGCCCAUCCCAAUGCCCACCCGAAAAGACGGGACAGGGGAAAGAAACAAAAUCCUGGGGCUCCAUUGGCUUUCUUUUUGACUCCAGCUGAAGUUGCUGCAUAGUGUGGCCUUGCCAGUCCUCGCCUUGAAAAAUGAGCGGAGCUCCUUUCUUUAUGAACUUUGGUGACGUGGCAUUAUGAUGUUACGGCAGAAGAGAUUAAUAACAGCGCCUCGUUUCUGUUCCGCCACCAUUAGAGGGCUGGAAGCGACUGACGUGAUGGAUCAUCUAAUCCCACAGCCUCAUUUUGCAGAGGACCCCGAGCCUCGACUUGGCCAAGGUCACACAGCUGGGCCACACCCAUGGCGUAUGGUUUUCACAUGGAAUCGGAGCUGCAGUUGCCGGCCUAUGCCACAGCCACAGCAAGGUAGGAUCUGAGCCAAGUCUUUGACCUACACCACAUCUCACGGCAAUUCCAGAUCCCUGGACCCACUGAGUGAGGCCAGGGAUUGAACACGCACCCUUAUGGAUACUAGUUGGAUCACAACGGAACUCCCUGAAAAAUCAAGGUCUUUAAAGCAAUUCAUCAACCCCACCAACAUCUUGGCAUAAGAAAAUUGAUUCUGUAAGUCAAAAGAACUUAUAACAUGGUAUAUUGGGAGGAUGGCAGGGCUUGGUAAGUGGUAGCAACGCAGCUGGUAGAUUUUUCUUUGUUGUGUCCUUGUCCUUACGCUCUUUUUAGCCACAUUUUCAUUCAGGAUUCUUGGGUUGGAAGCAACAGAAAUGGACUCUUUUGGCCUUAAGCAAAAAGAAAAUUUGUUGAAAGGGCAUGGAGGAGUUCAUAGGAUUGACUAGAAGUUUGGAGAAGUAGGCUCAGGAGUCAAGGCAUUUAUGGAGGAGGGUAGGGUAGAGAGGUGAUAAAAAUAAUGCAACAGUCUUAUUUGGAAAUUGUACUGGAAUGUAAGAGUUUCAUCUUUCCUCCUCCCUUCCCCUCUCUCUCUUUCUGCCACUUCAUUCGAGAUUCCAAUUUCAGCGAAGGAGCAUCCAAUUGGCCUGUCUUGGUCAGAUUCCCACCACCCCCAUGGUUAGGGGAACACAGCAUAUUCGAAAUGGCAUUCCCACGAGGUACAUUCCAUGGAAAAGUAAUACCACAAAGAAAAUAUGGACACAGUUAUCAAAGGAAGAUAAAACAGGUGCUGGGUAGCCAACAAUAGCCUAUUUCCACUAUAUCCUUUAAAAAAAAUCCCAGUAACUCUUCUAUGAUUACUGAUGUUUCAGGAGAGAAAUUUAACGAUGGAAGAGUGUAUACAUAGUGAUGAAAAGAAUGGGAGGAUUUAUAAGAUACAAGUCAUUUUCUUUGAGUUGUGGGACAAUGGUUGGGUCCAUUUUUCUUCUGUUGUUUUUUCCUAUAGAGCACAUUUAUAACCUUUUAAAAGUAAACUAUGUUUUCUACUUUAAGAUGAGUGAAAUGAGGGGGGAGUGUCCUUUUGACUGGGGACAUAGUCACUAGUUACUCUAUGUUAAUAACAGAAGCAUACAUUCCUCUCGAGGGGCAACAGUGUUCUUAUACAUUAAACUCUCAACAGAAACCAAAAGAACCACCACCAAAAAAAUCCCACCCAGUUUGGAAAGGACUUGUGCUUGUGGGUCGGGGGCAGAAGGAAGCAAUUUCCCUCCAUUUUCUGCCUGAGCAGGCCUUUUGCACUUUGAUAUUCGUUUCACUAAUAAGGUGUUUCAUUAUUUCUCCCACAAAAAGAGCUGGUGCUGUUAUGAGAUGCUGUUGAAGACUCUGGUUUGCCCAGAUGUGCCGCAGUGAAAACAGCCUUUCUCUGACGUGCAUGACUUGUGAGGAUGAUGGGACCUGUGGGAAGAGGGGAUCCUUUUUCAGAGUUUGGAAAGAGAGACAAAAUAACGCCAUCUGCCCUGCAUGGAUGACAGAAACACGUUCUUCCCUAAUCAGUGGGUCACUCACUUCCGCACUAUGUUGCAGGGAAGCAUCAUCUGAUUCCAAGCCUAAGGCUGGGUCAUCCGCGGCACUGACUUCUCCCGACCCUUCUCCGAGCUUCCCGUGCCAGUUUUCAUCAUCAAAUUUCUCUGCUCCCUUGGACCAGCGGAAAAGAAGUUAUGAGCUCUCUCCAUCAUUCGCCGGUCUCUUCGGCCCUUCCUCCUUUGAAGUUUUCUUAUUCGGGGUCUUUUUUCGCUUCUUCUCCAUGUUUCAUCCUCUCUCACUGUAACCUUUUUAUCUCUGGAGAGUUCUCUCUGUGCCUCUGGGCCCUUCUCUUUCUAGUUGGUUCUCAGAACCCAUUCUGGGAUUCUAUUUCAGUCCAUCCGUCUCUCCAACAGACCACGGGUGAAACCAGGGCCGGUAAUCAGUCCCAGCUGCUGGAGGCGUCCGCUCUGGGUCGGCCCCACGUUUGUGGGCUGAUGUUUUGCUUCCCAUAAUGCUCUGGGAGUACUGCUGCUCAGAGCUUGGCUUGUGCUUUU
rnacentral:lncRNA from 1 species